GAUGAACGCUGGCGGCGUGCCUAAUACAUGCAAGUCGAGCGAACGGACGAGAAGCUUGCUUCUCUGAUGUUAGCGGCGGACGGGUGAGUAACACGUGGAUAACCUACCUAUAAGACUGGGAUAACUUCGGGAAACCGGAGCUAAUACCGGAUAAUAUUUUGAACCGCAUGGUUCGAAAGUGAAAGACGGUCUUGCUGUCACUUAUAGAUGGAUCCGCGCUGCAUUAGCUAGUUGGUAAGGUAACGGCUUACCAAGGCAACGAUGCAUAGCCGACCUGAGAGGGUGAUCGGCCACACUGGAACUGAGACACGGUCCAGACUCCUACGGGAGGCAGCAGUAGGGAAUCUUCCGCAAUGGGCGAAAGCCUGACGGAGCAACGCCGCGUGAGUGAUGAAGGUCUUCGGAUCGUAAAACUCUGUUAUUAGGGAAGAACAUAUGUGUAAGUAACUGUGCACAUCUUGACGGUACCUAAUCAGAAAGCCACGGCUAACUACGU
rnacentral:rRNA from 1 species